rnacentral:lncRNA from 1 species
AGUACGUGGCUGUGGCCCAAGCCUCUGCCUGCUGCUGGAGCAUGGCCAGGCCGUCGUCGUAGGGUUGCAGGCUGUUCGGGGGUCCUGGGUCCCACGGAGCCCUGGGACCUGAGGGACAGGGAUGUUCCCUUUUCCCCCUUGGAGGUGUAGCCAGUAGUUUGGCUUUACAGGGGGACUCUGUGAAGAGUCCAGUUCCCUAUUUUUAAUCAGGUUCAUUUUUCACCUGCUUAGAAAGUGGAACAUCUCCUGAAAGGUGACAAGUCGUGAUCAAAGGCAAGUCUCCAGGCAGAGAGUUGGCAGGUUUCCGAAGCAAAGGUUACUUAGAAGUGGAGGCUCCACUGCCAGCUUCCCCCCGCUGCAAAAUCUGACACUCCUCACCCUCAGGGUUCAGCAAGAUUCUCGGAAAGGCCUUUUCUGAUUCUAGGAGGUGCUGCAGCAGGAGCUGACUCGGCCAUUUCCUGGCCUCUUUAGUUGGAAGAUGACAGAAAGGCGGAAGCAGGGACUGCUAUUGUGAGGCCCAUGGCAGCCUUCCUGUAAAACAAAUUGGCAAAUUGUCACCUUCAGAUGGACCACAGCUGGCCCUCUGAACAGCCCUCCUUGGCCUUUCCAGAGUGUACAUGAUUGUGUCCCAUGUCCAGGGAGAGGACAGAGCCACCAGGAGGGUCAAGGUCGUGGAGGGAAACAUGGGUGAGUAAGAGAUGGACCCCAGAAAUCCCUCCUCAUGCUCCUCCCUGCUGUUAUCACAGGCCUUGGCUGCCUUUCUCAGGAGGCAUUCCCAGCUCAGAGUUGGGUAUGCACUAAGUUAAAGCAAAGAGGGCCCUACUGGAGUGAGGGCAAGGGGACUUGGUUGACCUCCUUUGGGGAUGUUGCGAAGCAGACCCAUUCCCGCCCUUGCUGGCUGGAAUGCCCAGUCCUUCCCUGCCUCCCCGGGCCCCACACACCCUGGCUGACACCUGUGCUGAGGACAUGGCCGAGGAGAGCUGAAAGGAGCAGAGGAGGGGAGAAACGUGUACCAGUUCCCAUACAAACAGGACCCACAGGCUUGGGGUCCCCAGAGGUUGGCAGAGCCAGGGGAUACUGGGAGCUGGAGGCCAGACAGGGGCACACUUUUGCCUCAGGUUGUUGAGGCAGUACAAAUAAAAACUUGUUGCUGGGCAGAAUUGAUCCAAAAACGAACUUCAGUUUCUUCAGAAGAGGCUCAGGUUUGGAAGUAGAACUUGAUAUGGCGGUUGUCCCCUUUCCUUAACCUGCGACUCAAAACCAAGGGCAAGUGGAUCUCUCACAUCAGACACAGGAGCAGCCUCCUAGAGUCUGCUGGAGCAGCUACCCAGAGUGAGAGAGGGCUACUGACUUUGGAGCUGAUGCUCAGGUCAGGGCCUGGUUGAGCCACAUCCCCGUCCUUCAUUCCCAGCCCCUGGUGACCUUCUAGAAGCAACACUGAGUUCGGCGGCUUGGUGUCCACUGGGGCACAGCAUGUCUGAGCCUAACCCAACAGCCUCUCAUUGGCUUAGCUUGUCUUCCCAGGUACUGCCUGGAAAAGCAGCCUCUGGCGGGGAUGUCUGGGCCUGCCCUUCCUUCCUAUCUCGACCUGGGUGGAAAUCCGACUCCCUGGGCCUUGUUUUCAGAGUUCCAGUGUUCUCUCUCAUAGCCUGUAAGUGGAGAAGGGCAAGCUGAAGAAGGAACAGGCUGUUUUCUCAGGGGGAAGCGGGGCAGCUCGUGUACGCCUCCCAGCAUCGCUGCGUGAUGGUUUCAUCCGGCCCUGAGGAUAUGAAUUUGGUUGCUCCAGGAGCUCCCCCAGCCUCAAGAUCCAUGAAUUGGAUGGAGUAUGCAUGAAACUGCAGAAAACCCAUGACCCUCCCUUACACAGGAAUGUUGCUUUCCUUUUAGGCUUGUCAGGCAGACUGAAGAGGAGGAUCCUAGGAGACUUUUCUUUCCUGAGAAACCCAAAGAAAGCAACAGCAGAUCCGUAGGGUGUGGGGGAAGGGGGCAGGGGAAGUGUAUUUUCAGUAACAGAGACCUAAAGCAGAAACUAUUUGCAAACAGGUGACCUGCUCAAUUUCUCCUGUGAUCUUUCAUUUCUAAUGCUGGUUUUUCCCCCUCAUUAAAAAACUCAAUUUAAUUUCUUGCUUCACCUGCAUGGUAAAAAUAAUUACAUACAGACAUUAAGCCUGCACUAAAAAUCAAUAUACAGAGAGAUUCCACCUUUGCUGUUAGUCAUCACAGGGCUUGUUGGCCACAAAUAGAAAGCAUUUAAAAUACUUCUCUUUGUAGAAAGACAAGUGAAACCAGUCACUAGCCCUGUUGCUGAAGAGUGGCCUUUGUAUGUUAGUGAAAGUCAAGGGUCAGGAAGGAAGAUGAGGCUCUAACAGGGAUUUCAUGGCGUCCAGAGCCCUGUUUUCUUAUUGGUGAAAGAUACAAGGGCUGAUCACCAUCAGAGAACACUAACUUCAGAUGCAGGGCCUCCACGCCACUGCUGCUGCCUUAAUGGACAUAAGCAUUCUUCUUUAUUUCCUGGAGCUCAAGCCUGAACCACAGGGGGUAUAAGGAGAACGCCGUAAGGCACUGCUGUUCCCAGGCCCCCGCCCUCCCAUCUGCACAGCCAUCUCAUCGCAGUCUCCUUCAGUGUCCUUGGACUCCCAGGGCUGCUGGGGUUCAGGACAGGCUGUUUGCAUGAAGAGGGUCUUUAUAGCUCCACCCAGAGGGGUUUGGAGAGUUUGACGAUUGCUGCAGGAGAUGGGAAGCUCUUGCCAUAUGAGGACCCAAAUAAGUAUUUAGGAGCCUGCAAAAUCAGCUGGGCCCUAAUCUACUCUCCAGCUGUUUCUAAGAGAGGUGAUCUGAAAAACUGUCACCGAGGAAACUGGUUGUGAGGAUUUUUAAGAGACUUGGGAGCCUGGCUAAUGUUUGAAUGUUUGUGAUAUGACAUGCUGUAUCUUGCAUCUUCCUGGUACAAGGUAGAUCAGCGGCUGCACACAUCAGUGGGUCUUUGGAUAGUCUGAUUUAAAUGUAUUCUGGCCGGGCACAGUGGCUCACAGCUGUAAUACCAGCACUUUGGGAGGCCGAGAAGGGCAGAUCACCAGGUCAGGAGAUUGAGACCAGCCUGGCCAACACGGUGAAACCCCGUCUCUACUAAAAAUACAAAAAUUAGCUGGGCGUGGUGGCGCGUGCCUGUAAUCCCAGCUACUCGGGAGGCUGAGGCAGGAUAAUCGCUUGAACCAGGGAGUCAGAGGUUGCGGUGAGCCGAGAUCGCGCCACUGUCCUGGCGACAGAGUGAGACUCUGUCUCAAAAAAAAAAAAAAUGUAUUCCAUCUGGACGUUUCUAGGAUUAGUCAACAGGUUCAUUGUUUUUAUCUCUACAGCUUGUUUCCCAUUGCAACAAGGCCUCCCACUGCAAGACAGAGAGGAAGAGCUCUGCCACCCAUGUGUGUAAGGCCAUGUGGAUACCUCAUGACAUCCUGGAAGGCCACAGGGCUGUGGCCGCCAUUCAACUUAGGUUGACAUGGCCAAGACCAUAGAGCUAAUGAGUGGCAAUGUUGAGCCUAGACCCUAAGUCUCUAGAUUCCUCCUGCAGGGCGCUGGGUGUUGUGGGGGCGUCUCUGAGGUGGGUCAGAGUGAACCUGCAGGGGCCACUUAAAACCCUUGCAGGCCUUGGCUCCUUCUCCAAAGAAGCCCAAGCCAGAAUGGCAGUAGAAGUAUCUCCUGUGACCGCAAGCCAGGCACUGAUUCUUAGGUUGCUUCCUGGUCCUUCUGUAUGUAUUGCUAAGAGCAGCAGUGUUCUUUCUUGCCACAGAGUGAGUCCUGGUGCAUAAAUCUGUGCUCAUGUCACCCAGUGCUUUCACCUGCCUGUUCGUGAUAAUCCUGGGACAAGACCCUCACCUGCCUGCACGGGGGCGGGGGGGGCGUGAGGUCUAGAGACCCAAAUGAAGGCCUCACUGAAUGGACUUCCCUGAGGUGUCGGGGCCACUGAUGUGGUGCCAGGGCCUGUCUAUUCUUCCUGCUAGCCAAAGGCUGGCUUCUCAAGCCGCUGGAUGAAUGGGGAGCCUGGAGAUGUUGAACAAGUCACGUACGUCUCUGAUUGCCUCGAUUUCCCCAUUUUGGCCGAUGGCAUCGCUAAAGCAUUUGAUGAUUCCACCGUCAAGUGUGAGAGCUACAGGAGAUAAAAAUUUUAAAUUACUAAUCACCCAUGGUAAUGCAUGGUAAUGCAUGCUGAACAAACAGUGAGGAGGCCAGACGCCACCGCAUUCCAAAACAGGAAGCACUCAGGAACUCUACCAGAGCAUGGCUGCCCUCUCCACAUCUGCACUACUGGACUGAGGGCUUAGUUGAUCCAUCUCUUCCACAGAUUUGCAGAGAUAUGCUCAAGCGUGACUUAAGUGACUUAAGGCUCAUGUGUUGCCUCCCUAUGUCAAGCUUUUCACCCAGUGAGCUCUUUGAGAACAGGGGCUGCAUUUUAGGACAUCUCCCCCAGUGUCUUCGUAGAACCAGGCAAGACACACGGCCUUGUUGGAAGUGCCAAACAUCUAUUCUUCAUCAGCAGAAUGGAUGAGCCCCUGAAAGGCAUGAGUUGAGCUGCGCAGUCUGAACUCAGGGAAGUCCUCGCAGCGGGCUCCCAAUUCCUGCCUCUCAAGAAGCAAGCUGAGCCUUAAAGAUGGCUGAAAAUGUGAACAGUCUCAGGGCCACGCAGACCCACCUGAGCAGUUGCUCUCUGAUGUCUCACCGAGCCAUCCACCAUCCCAGCGAAGAAAGGGCCUGCAAGCAGACCAGAAAAUGCCCCAUUCAGUCAUGCUGCUUAGUCAUGGCCCAAACCUGCAGCGUUUAAUUCUGCUCACUGUGACUUUAUUGCAAUGGCACACACAUUUACAUCACUUUAUGUGCGAUAACAGUAGAGAAGUUAGUUAGGUUUUUCUGUUUUUUGUUUUUUUAAGAUAAUGAGAAAAGUCUGUAAUAUUCAGCCAAAAUGUAUCCUUGUGGCUGGUGUAGAUUUUUGGCGAAAUGACACUGUACAUAAUCAGAAGAAGGCAAACAUGCAUAUUAUCUCCAUCUCCUUAUAACUGCACGAGAUAACAUAAAACUGCAGGAAGUAUCAAGCAUAAGAAUAAAAGCCGUCUAUUGAAGUCUACGUGGCAUCCCCUGCGUGCCCCAGGAACACCCUUCGGUGGAUUAGGAUGAGCACGCUGGAAAAUACACACCCUGCCGCUGCAUCUGGCUAAUGCCAGGCCCCAGCCCCUGUUCCUUAAGCCACAGAUCCCCUGAGUGUCUGUGUUGUGUCUGCUGGAAUUUAGUUUAGGCAGGUGACGUGGCUCCAAAGAAAGUCACAGGCUGGUUUCUGCUGCAGAGAUUUGUGUCCACUUCAUGCAUGUUUAUUGCCCGUUAACUCUAUAUGAAGCCACAGCAAAGGGGAAGUGAUGUUAGAGAGGUCACAAUCUAGUUAGUGGGGUCAAGACAAGAGAUGGAGACAGCAGGUCUUGACACUCUGGAAUCAUUCUGAUUUGUAAAUAUGACAAUUGAUGAAGGGGAAGAGUGCCUAGUCUCCAGGAGGGAUUUCCUGCUGAGACCCACCAGGUAUACAGUCGGUCCUUGUCUGCAGUGACCCCAGAGACAUUUAUUGCAACACCUGCACAUCAGGUUGCAGCAACUGUGUUCUGCCUGGCCCAGGACAGACUCUGCUCCACCUAAGAGUCAGCCUCUCCAAGGCAGCAGUGGGGUUGGGAAGAGGGGAGGAGGGACCUCCAUGCUGCACCAGCUCCUACAGAGCCAGCUCAAGCUACAUUUCAGGACAUCUUGGAGGCUACUUCUGGACAAUUGUGGAUUAGCUAAGUGACAGUCCAGGAACCUGGAUCCCAUCCUGGCCAGGGAGUUGUGGCUUCUGAGAUAAGGACUUUGUGCAUUGGAGAUAAACUGAAGUGUUUCUGCCUCUGCUCCCUCCAGGGGCGGCUUAUGGCACAGGCUCACCAAAUUGCAGGCCCCAGAGCACCUGCAACCUCAGGGAGCUCAGGGGCUUCCCAGCAUGGGCAGGGGAAGCCACAGAUUCACUUCUCCUACAGAUGCACAGACCCUGGGGUGGAUGGUCUAAAGCUCAGGAUCUUAUAAUGCAGAGAAGAUGGAAUAGAGCAGGAACCAGGCCCCUGUCUGGAGGAAGGAACCAAUAACAACAACAACAAAACUACUGACAAUGUGCGCGCUUUACAAUUUUCAAAGCGCUCUCAUCUCAGUCAAGGAAGGAUGCAUUCUUUCCACAGGCUGACGUUCAAAACCCAACCACCAGAAACAUGAAGAUAAAACAAAAGGAACCACCAGAAACAAACAAGACACCUGUCCAUCCUCCAGGUUUGCAAAUCAGAUCAAGUUCUGACAACUGGUAAAGAGGAAGAUGAGAAGAUCCUGCCAGAUAAAUUCUCUGGUACCUUCAUUGAUCUCAUUCUUUCACCAUCAAAGGGGAAUGCAGUAGUGCCAGCAGGAGCAGAAAAAAAAAAAAAAAACCCUAAAAAGAACAAGAGAGACUAGUCAAAGCUAGUACAGUGUUUCCCUGGUACUGAGUCAUACUUUUACAAUGACCCAGGCCCACGGCCUCAACUGAUGACAAAUAAUGAGAAUCCAACAAUCAUUCUUUCUCGCAUAUUCACUUGUGAAUAAAUGCAAGAACUGGUGUAUUUG